CAGACGUAUUUCUCGCGACUCGGAUUGUUUGUUCGGUCUUCUUCUUCACAUUAUAUUCGGUCAUCAAUCGGCUAGUUAAUUUUAGCUUGCGACUGUAGCAAUGUCGUUUAGUAUUUGCGCGCUUAUUGUCCAUAAUUGCUUCAUAUUUGGUUGACCACCGGUGAUAAUUAGUAUUUAUAGUCGUGUUUGGCAUUUUAAUAAUAGUAAUUUAUCGCGCGUAUAAUCUUCGUAAAUCUAAAUUUUGCGAGUUUAGUCUAAAUACACUGUGAUUGGGUUGCGUCGGACGCCGGCCUGUGAUUGAUUGUGAACCGCAGAACACGGACCUGUAUUAGCCGUGGCUUGGAGUCCCACGAGUUUGGCAUUGCAAUUGCCUUCGAGUUCCGAUGCCCGAGUCACGAGCUAAAUUAGAAUGCGAAUUUGAUUCGCUUCGUCGUUCGACCCCCGAUUUAAAAUAAAAUAAAUAUUGACACCCCUUCCCG